UAUCUCUGUAGAGUCUGCAUAUCAAUAAGCGGAGGAAAAGAAACUAACUAGGAUUCCCUCAGUAACGGCGAGUGAAGCGGGAAGAGCUCAAAUUUGAAAUCUUCAAGGUUCUACCUUGACGAAUUGUAGUUUAAAGAAGUGUUUUCUGUUGGAGUUUUGGUAAAAGUUCUUUGGAAUAGGACAUCAUAGAGGGUGAGAAUCCCGUAUUUGACCAUUACUUCCAGCGUUGUGAUACACUUUCAAAGAGUCGGAUUGUUUGGGAAUGCAGUCCAAAAUGGGUGGUAAAUUUCAUCUAAAGCUAAAUAUUGGCGAGAGACCGAUAGCGAACAAGUACCGUGAGGGAAAGAUGAAAAGAACUUUGAAAAGAGAGUUAAACAGUACGUGAAAUUGUCAAAAGGGAAGCGUUUGACACCAGUGUUGUUUUCUCGAAAAUCAAUUAAAAAAAGUUGGAUUUUGUAUUGUUAAGACCUUAUCAGCUUACCUGUACUCUUUUUGCUUUUUUUAAUGCACUUUUCGUUUAACAAGUCAACAUCAAUUUCUUUUGUUGUAAAAGAGUCAUUGGAAGGUGGCUUUCACUUCGGUGAAAGUGUUUAUAGCCUUUGGCUUCUGCAAUCGGAGAGAUUGAGGUCUGCAGGCGUAGAUCCUUCGGGGCUAGAUACGUAGAUGCUAAGUUAUAGUUUUUUAUAGACAACUUGUUGACUAUAAUUAAUCAUGUAGCUUACUCGUUUGCGCUAUUUUACCUACGCUUAGGAUGUUGAUCUGUAGUGCGUGCGC
rnacentral:rRNA from 1 species